AUUGAACGCUGGCGGCAGGCCUAACACAUGCAAGUCGAGCGAGCGGCGGACGGGUGAGUAAUGUAUGGGGACUGCCCGAUAGAGGGGGAUAACUCCUGGAAACGGUAGCUAAUACCGCAUACUAUCGGAUAACCCAUAUGGGAGUAGCUAGUAGGUGAGGUAAUGGCUCACCUAGGCGACGAUCCCUAGCGGGUCUGGGAGGAAGAUCAGCCACACUGGGACUGAGAAACGGCCCAGACGCCUACGGAGGCAGCAGUGGGGAAUAUUGCACAAUGGGCGCAAGCCUGAUGCAGCCAUGCCGCGUGUAUGAUGAAGGCCUUCGGGUGGUAAAGCACUUUUGGCAGAGAAGCGGGAUCUGCAGAAUAAGCACCGGCUAACUACGUGCCAGCAGCCGCGGUAAUUC
rnacentral:rRNA from 1 species